AGCGAACGCUGGCGGCAGGCUUAACACAUGCAAGUCGAACGCAUCGCAAGAUGAGUGGCAGACGGGUGAGUAACGCGUGGGAACAUACCCUUUUCUACGGAAUAGCUCUGGGAAACUGGAAUUAAUACCGUAUACGCCCUACGGGGGAAAGAUUUAUCGGGGAUGGAUGAGCCCGCGUUGGAUUAGCUAGUUGGUGGGGUAAAGGCCUACCAAGGCGACGAUCCAUAGCUGGUCUGAGAGGAUGAUCAGCCACAUUGGGACUGAGACACGGCCCAAACUCCUACGGGAGGCAGCAGUGGGGAAUAUUGGACAAUGGGCGCAAGCCUGAUCCAGCCAUGCCGCGUGAGUGAUGAAGGCCUUAGGGUUGUAAAGCUCUUUCACCGAUGAAGAUAAUGACGGUAGUCGGAGAAGAAGCCCCGGCUAACUUCGUGCCAGCAGCCGCGGUAAGAC
rnacentral:rRNA from 1 species